CAGCCGCCACGGUAAUACGUAGGUGGCAAGCGUUGACCGGAAUUAUUGGGCGUAAAGGGCUCGCAGGCGGUUUCUUAAGUCUGAUGUGAAGGCCCCCGGCUCAACCGGGGAGGGUCAUUGGAAACUGGGAAACUUGAGUGCAGAGGAGGAGAGUGGAAUUCCACGUGUAGCGGUGAAAUGCGUAGAGAUGUGGAGGAACACCAGUGGCGAAGGCGACUCUCUGGUCUGUAACUGACGCUGAGGAGCGAAAGCGUGGGGAGCGAACAGGAUUAGAUACCCGCGUAGUCCCUGUCUCUUAUAC
rnacentral:rRNA from 1 species